GACGAACGCUGGCGGCGUGCUUAACACAUGCAGGUCGAACGGUGAAGCUCCAGCUUGCUGGAGUGGAUCAGUGGCGAACGGGUGAGUAACACGUGAGCAACCUGCCCCUGACUCUGGAAUAAGCGCUGGAAACGGCGUCUAAUACUGGAUACGAGAAGGGUCCGCAUGGGCACUUUCUGGAAAGUUUUUCGGUUGGGGAUGGGCUCGCGGCCUAUCAGCUUGUUGGUGAGGUAAUGGCUCACCAAGGCGACGACGGGUAGCCGGCCUGAGAGGGCGACCGGCCACACUGGGACUGAGACACGGCCCAGACUCCUACGGGAGGCAGCAGUGGGGAAUAUUGCACAAUGGGCGAAAGCCGGAUGCAGCGACGCCGCGUGAGGGAUGACGGCCUUCGGGUUGUAAACCUCUUUCAGAAGGGAAGAAGCGAAAGUGACGGUACCUGCAGAAGAAGCACCGGCUAACUACGU
rnacentral:rRNA from 1 species